rnacentral:tRNA from 1 species
GGCUGUGGCUCAGCGGUAGAGCACUUGUCUAGCACAUGGCGGGCCCUGGGUUUGAUCCUCAGCACCA